GGGGGCGACCGGCAUCGACCUGAGAGAUGAGGUUGGAGCUGCAGGCCGGGGAUCCUCGUUGGCCCCGUCAUCAAACGAGGGAAACAACAGAAGCUAACGAACAGUUGGCUCUGGCGGCCUAAGCCCGCCAGCGUGUGAAGGACGACACCUGCUGGUUCUUCACGCGCCCUCAGCAGGUUAGCCGUGAGGCGGAACGACCGCGACCUUGCGGUGAAACAAUCUCGUGGACGUGAGGCGGCGGCUGGGGACGGGCUGCCAAGGUCGCCGCCGAAAUCUCUCAGCCCGUUAAGCCUGUAGACGCUUCUCCCGAUUUUCCCAGGGACAGGGGUUCAACUCCCCUCGCCUCCACCA
rnacentral:tmRNA from 1 species